UACGUAGGGGGCAAGCGUUGUCCGGAAUUAUUGGGCGUAAAGAGCUCGUAGGCGGUUUGUCGCGUCUGCUGUGAAAACUCAGGGCUUAACCCUGAGCUUGCAGUGGGUACGGGCAGACUAGAGUGCGGUAGGGGAGACUGGAAUUCCUGGUGUAGCGGUGAAAUGCGCAGAUAUCAGGAGGAACACCGGUGGCGAAGGCGACAUCCUGGACCGGUAUUGACGCUGAGGCGCGAAAGCCAGGGGAGCAAACGGG
rnacentral:rRNA from 1 species